AAAGUAUAUUUUUAUUUGUAAUGGUUGUGAUGGCCCCAGUACCUGCCUGCUGUCCUGGCAGGUCCUUGUGGCUGGAGGGCUGAAUGGAGAAUGGGAAACACCAAGCCAGGGCUACCAACAGCAUGGUGGGACACUUGACUAAGAUAGCCGGGAGCAGGCGGAGUCAACGUCUACAAAGAUCGCCACGACUGUGAAAAUAAACGGGUGACGUCACGAACACUGGAAUCCAUCUGUGCCGCCCAGUUGAUCACCGAGGACGAGGGCUUGGGUCGGCUGGCCCACACGGUGCAGGUCUUGGUGGACCUCGCGCCGACUGCUGCCAGCCACCGCCGCGCUAGCAGACCGGAGCCGCUAGGGGCGGACAGCUAAGCACUGCUCCAUCUCUUACAAGUAAAAACAUG